rnacentral:rRNA from 1 species
GUAGGGGGCAAGCGUUGUCCGGAAUCAUUGGGCGUAAAGAGCGUGUAGGCGGUCCGGUUAGUCGGCUGUGAAAGUCCAGGGCUCAACCCUGGGAUGCCGGUCGAUACUGCCGGACUAGAGUCCGGAAGAGGCAAGUGGAAUUCCCGGUGUAGCGGUGAAAUGCGCAGAUAUCGGGAGGAACACCAAUGGCGAAGGCAGCUUGCUGGGACGGUACUGACGCUGAGACGCGAAAGCGUGGGGAGCAAACAGGAUUAGAUACCCUGGUAGUCCACGCCGUAAACGAUGGGCACUAGGUGUGGGAGGUGUCGACUCCUCCCGUGCCGGAGCUAACGCAUUAAGUGCCCCGCCUGGGGAGUACGGCCGCAAGGCUA